UGGCUUCUGCACACCGGUCACAUAGA
rnacentral:piRNA from 1 species